rnacentral:rRNA from 1 species
GUAGGUGGCAAGCGUUGUCCGGGAAUUAUUGGGGCGUAAAGCGCGCGCAGGCGGUUCUUUAAGUCUGAUGUGAAAGCCCACGGGCUCAACCGUGGGAGGGUCAUUGGAAACUGGAGAACUUGAGUACAGAAGAGGAAAGCGGAAUUCCACGUGUAGCGGUGAAAUGCGUAGAGAUGUGGAGGAACACCAGUGGCGAAGGCGGCUUUCUGGUCUGUAACUGACGCUGAGGCGCGAAAGCGUGGGGAGCAGACAGGAUUAGAUACCCUGGUAGUCCACGCCGUAAACGAUGAGUGCUAAGUGUUAGGGGGUUUCCGCCCCUUAGUGCUGCAGCUAACGCAUUAAGCACUCCGCCUGGGGAGUACGGCCGCAAAGGCUGA